rnacentral:lncRNA from 10 species
UGGUGCUCCAUAAAUGGCAGUUAUUAUUCUUGCUUUUUUUGUGAUUGCUGUUUAUGAGUUUCUGUUUUUGAGCCAUAUCAGUGCCCUUAACAUCUCCUUCUGUGUCCGAGCCAGAUGAUUGGAUCUUUUCCCCAAUCUCUACCCUCCUGUAACAGGAUUCUAGAUCCACAUUCUUUUCCAUGUAAAGUGCAUUUCCUCCCACCGUGGGCAGAGUGUGCUUUCUACAUGACUUGGUUUGGCCAAUGAAAUGUCAUCAGUCAUGACAUUUACUUAUGGUCUGGCUUAUUCUCUUACAUUCCUGAUAAUGUCUAUUGAACAUGUGUGUGCUGGGCAUUGAGCUAAAUGUUCUUACUGGAUCAUCACAACUGUGUAAGGCAGGUACUAUUUUCAUGCCAGUUUUUAGAUUAAAAACUGAGGCCUAGAGAGAUAAUUAACUUGCCCCAAGUCACACUGUAAUGGACCCAGGACUGAACCCAGGCAGUCAGCUUGCCUGACCAUGUCGCUUCACCAUGCUGCCUCACCGCUGGAGGAAGGUGGUAGAAAUUCCUUCUGCCCAAAGACACAAAAGGCAAGUGUGAAGAUUACACAUCUCUGCUCACUCCCCUUGCCACAGAGAGAAGAAACAUGACUAGUGGAGUCAAUGCGGCAGUGAGCAGCAGGGAUCCUGUCAUUUCUGAGCUGAAGCAUUUCAAUGUUUGUUUAGAACCCUCCACCAUUCUCGCCUGCCACAUGGACUGAGGAGGCUUUGUGUUCCAGAUGGCAAAGCCACAGGGUGGUGGUGUCUCUGUCUGUGUGGAUCGCUGAGCCAGGCCAUGAAGUGAAGCUGCCUUAGAAGUUACCCAGGCCUGCAGCAGAUGCUUAUUGUGUCUACUGGGAGAUGGGGUGAGAGUGGAGGCUUUUCUUCCUGUUGAAAGAAGAAAGAAGGUUGUUGGCAUCUGGACUCAUGGAGGAACCUGGAGGAAGAUGAUUGGAUCAUGGAAGCGGUUUCUCCCAUGCUGUUCUCAUGAUAGUGAGUGAGCUCUCACAAGAUCUGAUGGUUUAAAAGUGUGUGGCAGUUGCCCGCUUGUUCUCUGUCUCUCCUGCUCCACCAUGGUAAGACGUGCCACCUUCCCCUCCACCUUCUACCAUGAUUGAAAGUUUCCUGAGGCCUCCUAACCAUUCUUCCUGCACAGCCUGUGGAACUGUGAGUCAAUUAAACCUCUUUUCUUCAUAAAU